rnacentral:rRNA from 9 species
GGGUUGUGAGGUUAAGCGACUAAGCGUACACGGUGGAUGCCCUGGCAGUCAGAGGCGAUGAAGGACGUGCUAAUCUGCGAUAAGCGCCGGUAAGGUGAUAUGAACCGUUAUAACCGGCGAUUUCCGAAUGGGGAAACCCAGUGUGAUUCGUCACACUAUCAUUAACUGAAUCCAUAGGUUAAUGAGGCGAACCGGGGGAACUGAAACAUCUAAGUACCCCGAGGAAAAGAAAUCAACCGAGAUUCCCCCAGUAGCGGCGAGCGAACGGGGAGGAGCCCAGAGCCUGAAUCAGCAUGUGUGUUAGUGGAAGCGUCUGGAAAGGCGCGCGAUACAGGGUGACAGCCCCGUACACAAAAGCGCAUGUGCUGUGAGCUCGAUGAGUAGGGCGGGACACGUGGUAUCCUGUCUGAAUAUGGGGGGACCAUCCUCCAAGGCUAAAUACUCCUGACUGACCGAUAGUGAACCAGUACCGUGAGGGAAAGGCGAAAAGAACCCCGGCGAGGGGAGUGAAAAAGAACCUGAAACCGUGUACGUACAAGCAGUGGGAGCACAGGUUUACCUGUGUGACUGCGUACCUUUUGUAUAAUGGGUCAGCGACUUAUAUUCUGUAGCAAGGUUAACCG